CUCUGCAGGGACCCCUGGGCAUAGGUGUUUUGGCUCUGUUGGUCUCCUUGUGGAGUUCCUGUCCCCUCCAGGUCUUUCUAUCUCCAUCUUCUUCCAUCAGGAUUCCUUCCGGUAUCCUGCCCAAAGUUUGGCUCCGAGUCUCAGUAUCUCUGUCAAUACCCUGCACUAAAUAUCAUCACACGUCUGGACACACUACAGUGUAUUAAUCCAUUCAUCUACUAAAGGACAUCGGGAUUGCUUCCAGGAUGUUGGACUGUCUGCCAACAAUGAAUGGAGCUACUGCACACACACCCAUGCAGACUUUUGAGUGAACACAGCUUCCAACUCCUUUGGAAAUUGCACUGGGCUGAAUUUAUGGCGACCUGGCUUCUGAAAAAAGGAAGUGGAUACACAGCUCACUGUCUCUCUGAUAAAAAGAAGCUACGGAUCCUGAAAGAGCAAGGUACAAUGCCUACUGGAGACUGUGGAAACUAAAUACUAUCAGGAAAGCACAAUUGGGAGAAGAGCCUCACGGCUCGAGAACACGCCAGGGGACCUCAAGCUGCUGUCGUCCUUCAACCUGCAGCCAACUGGAAACAAUGGAUCUCUAAACUGCCAACGGAUUGAAGCAUUCUCUCACUUUUGGAGUAAAAAAUUAAAAUUUAAUUCCUUGACAAAAUGGGAAUUUGUUUGUCAGUGCCACUAAGUGUUUUAGCUGAGCACUAAAUAGUAACUGAUUAAAACUCUCCCUGAAGGAAUGCGUUAGCCUCCCUCCCUGUCUAUUUCUAGUGUGCUGCAGAUAAUUUGUGAUACACAGAUGCCUUUCCAUAUUUAAAUAUCUGAGAAAGUGUGUGAAAAAAUAAAGCCACAUGUUUACAGGGUGGGAGGAGCCUAUUUGGGGAGCAGCAAGUCACCACUAAGCCUGGCAGGAGCAUAAUGAAUUCCCAGACCCAUAUCCUUCCCAGCUGGCUAACUACCAGAAGGGACUAAGAUGUUCUUAGGAACUCCAGCAGCUACUUGC